AUUGUGAUAAUUAGCAGUUUAUCGCUACCCAUGUGAAUUGACUAACGCGAUCUUCCCUCUUAUCUUCCAUGUAUUGUUUACACUGUCAAAGCAUUUAAGCUGAACUAUAGUUUUUGUUGGAUCAUAUGCCUGAUUUUAUUUAAUUUGAAUCUUAAGGGCGUAAAGGGAAGGUUUGAUUCUUUUUUGGUCUAAGCAAAUUCGAUGCUUAAUUUUCUCAAAUAACAAUUGCAUACUUUGAUCUUAUUUUAGGUUUCUACGUUUCUUCUUCUCUCUAUUAAAAUU